CCUACGGGUGACAGCAGUGAGGAAUAUUGGUCAAUGGGCUUACGCCUGAACCAGCCAAGUCGCGUGAGGGAAGACUGUCCUAUGGGUUGUAAACCUCUUUUGUCAGGGAGCAAUUGGCGCUACGUGUAGCGUUCUCGAGAGUACCUGAAGAAAAAGCAUCGGCUAACUCCGUGCCAGCAGCCGCGGUAAUACGGAGGAUGCGAGCGUUAUCCGGAUUGAUUGGGUUUAAAGGGUGCGUAGGCGGAAUGCCAAGUCAGCGGUAAAAUCGCGGGGCUCAACCUCGCUCCGCCGUUGAAACUGGCGUUCUUGAGUGGGCGAGAAGUAUGCGGAAUGCGUGGUGUAGCGGUGAAAUGCAUAGAUAUCACGCAGAACUCCGAUUGCGAAGGCAGCAUACCGGCGCCCAACUGACGCUGAAGCACGAAAGCGUGGGUAUCGAACAGGAUUAGAUACCCGUGUAGUC
rnacentral:rRNA from 1 species